rnacentral:rRNA from 1 species
UGGGGAAUUUUCCGCAAUGGGCGAAAGCCUGACGGAGCAAUACCGCGUGAGGGAGGAAGGUCUAAUAGAUUGUAAACCUCUUUUGUCAGGGAAGAAAAAAAUGACGGUACCUGAUGAAUAAGCAUCGGCUAACUCCGUGCCAGCAGCCGCGGUAAUACGGAGGAUGCAAGCGUUAUCCGGAAUUAUUGGGCGUAAAGCGUCCGCAGGUGGUCAAACAAGUCUGCCGUCAAAGACCAGAGCUUAACUCUGGGAAGGCGGUGGAAACUGUAAGACUAGAGACCGGUAGGGGUAGAGGGAAUUCCCAGUGUAGCGGUGAAAUGCGUAGAGAUUGGGAAGAACACCAGUGGCGAAGGCGCUCUACUGGGCCGGUACUGACACUCAGGGACGAAAGCUAGGGGAG